UUAAUAGCUCAGUUGGUAGAGCAUGAGACUCGUAAUCUCAGGAUCAUGGGUUGGAGCCCCCCAUGGGUUGGGCAAAA